AAGUCGUAACAAGGUUUCCGUAGGUGAACCUGCGGAAGGAUCAUUAACACGUAUCCAAACGUUAAACCCCCCUGUGAACCUUCACUGUACUCGUACGUCCGUUAGAAAAAGCAGCAAUCCCUGGUAAAUCAUCGCCGAACAGUUUUCGAUUCAGGGAUGUCUGCAAGGAGCGUGCAUGUUGUGCGAGCAAGUGGCCUGGCAUCCCCAAGCAGUUAGUGUCUGAAAGUGUCAUUAACUGUGUAAGGAUGACGCAGUCACGAUCGUUGGAGGCCCACACGGCCGACGACCGGGUCACUGGGCGCAAGCCCCCCUAUAACAAACGCUGCUAAUCGCGGCCGCGAUAAUACGCAGUCGACCAAAAACCGAACAACUGUUAACAAUGGAUAUCUUGGUUCUC
rnacentral:misc_RNA from 1 species